CUCAAUUCCAGUGUUAAGGGACAAAGUACUAAAAACAUACAUGUUUAAACACACAUUCACAAGUUCUAAGAACCACUCUAGAAUGUGGUUUGAAAAUACUUUUAAGAUUAAAAAAAAACUGAAAAUACCAUAACAAAUUACCCACAUUUCACUUAAGAAAUGUCGGAUUACCAACAAAAUGAUUUUUUUUUCUGAAAGGAAGAAUAUGAAAGAAAAAAAAAAAAAAGACCGACCUCCCCAAACCUGUGGAACUGCCUAAAUUCUAGAAUUUCUAAAGAGCUUUCUUUAUCUUUGUUAUCUGUUCACUGGAGCAUGUCUUUUGUUAAUUCCCUAGAGCCUCAAAACAUACUCGAGUUUAAAAAAUACUUAGGAACAUACUAUUUUAUUCACAAAUUCUACAUUAAAAAAAUACUUAGUAGCCUUAAAUCAACACAGUUUAAAACCUGGAACGUUUUAUUCUUUAUCAUUUUAAAUGUCAGCGCACUAACUUCCGUGAGAAAUCUAGUUCUGACACUAACACUGAGAAACACCCCUGUAAAAACUUUCUAUUUAAGGAUAUUUGCAAGAAGCAUUCUAAGAAUUUUCCUUCCCUUGUCAACUUUAUUCCGGGUGUAAUUUGGCAGACCCACCUAUUAUUUCUACAAGAGUUCACAACAGAAAUAUUUCUGACGGUGAACCUUGGAACGUUCUACCAGAAGCCUUAAUUAUAACCAUUUUAACAGGGGAAGAAUUAAUAUUGCUUGUUCGUGCCCCAAUAUUUUCCAGAAGGCCUUUUAUGAACCAAGUUCCUUCCAAGAUAACUGGCAUACCCAAUCAAAAUUCCCACCAGUAGAAAAGGUCCCUCUCCUUGUUAGCUACUAUGAAGUGGCUCAGGUCCAUAGAAGAAUGACCUAAAGUGACCUCCACAUAGUCUGAUUAUGAGCGCGUACACACACAAACACACACACAACCUGUGGGCAUGCUAGCACCCGCCAGAAUACUUCAGGGCAAGGUCAUGGCCAACAGCCUCACAAAAUACCAAAUUGGAAAUGACGUGUCAAGCUUUUAGGAAUGAUGGCUUUUGCUUCCUUCCAGAACCAUAUCCUAGUUUUCUGGAAACGAGGAAAGUGGGGUGGGCGGCAUGUUUUGAGGGGGAAGAUGACGGUGCUAAUAGCUCCUGGCGCCUUAGGAGGACCACCUGCAAGGGCGCACGCCCAAUGCCAACCCUUCUUUGUGGCAGCUGCAGAGGGGGAGGGAAGCUUGGGAGGAGCCAGCUUCCCCUUCUCGGCCGAGUGUGAACUUGGGCUCUGAACUUGGGGGCGCGGGUAAGAGCCAAGGUCGAGGAAGGUUAAGGUUCUUGGGUCGGAUAGCGGUGAUUUCGUGUUGGUUAGGGUUUUGUUUUUGCUUUUGUUUUUAAUGUCACACGGUGGUGGGAGUCGUUCCACUACAUUCUCAAGGCACGGUCGAGAAGAGGGAGGGGAGACGGGAGAGAACUCAGCCCGGGAGCGGAAAAGGUGGGAUGGGGAGGCCUGCCAACGGCUGUUGCCAUGGCAACCGCAGACCCAUUUCUCAGUCUAACGCCCGCUGCCUAGCCUCCGUCUCGCUGGCUCUCUCGGGCACGGUUCCGGCUCGGUCCCCACCCCCACCCCGGAGCGUCCACAUCCAGAUCCGACAAGGUCGAAGCGGCCGGCCGCGACGUUAUGGAGUCUACAAGCACUCCGAAUCGACGUAGGGCCGACAAACCGCCCCAGGAAUGACGAAGAAGACGAAGAGAAGAAAAAUCUGCAGCUGCCACUUGCCACUUGCCGCCGCCGCCGCCGCCACCGCCGCCGCCGCUAAUACGUAGGAAAAGGCUGCGGUGGCCCCAAGGCGCAGGCGUAGCACUCCCCCACUCGGCAGCGGCCCCAAGGAGUCCCGCAGUGCGCCUGCGCGACUAUGCGGCAAACAGUGCUGGGGGAGGGAAAAGUUCUCUUAGUUCAGGGAGAGGCUGGGAAGAGAAUAAUCAUCCCCACCUCGCGCAUGCGUGGCUAGGCGGUGGCUCAGGAGACUUUUUUUUUUUUUCUGAGUUUCCCUGAGAACUUUCUGGAAAGCAAGAGCCAUAGCAGGGGAAGCCAGACCUCCAGGCCAGGUUGCGCAGCCGUCGCCUCCGCCGUGACCGCCACCGUCCUUCCGUCAGUUCAUCCAUUAUUCCUUCCCUCUCUUAUCCCGCCUUUGGGCCACGAGCACUGCGAGAUGAGCACCGCUUCCUCGGUCUUUCUGCCCACCUUAUGCCGGGUCGGGCCGGGGGACCAACAGAGCCGAUGGAGGGGGUGGGGGGGAUAACGGGCCCCAACUUGAGGCUGCUGCGCCUGCCAGGGAGAAAGUAAGGGUGGGGGCCUCGAACUCCGGAGCCGGAUCCGCCGCCCCGGCCGUUUCCUGGGGCUGAGGCGGGAGCCUACAGAUGGAGGAGCCGGGCCGCGGCCUCCUUGCCCAUGGGCUUAGCGGUCCGAGACGCCGACUCUGGGUUCCGGCUCGGGUGGGGCCGGCGUUAACGGGUCUCUCCCUACACCCGCCCCGCCGGGCGCCAUUUUGUAGUGCAGCGAAAUGCGGGCGCCAUUUUGUGGAGGCGAGGGGGAGGGUAACCUGAGCUGCCCGGGGUGGGGCGAGCGGGUUGCCAGGCGUGGGAAGGGGUGGACCGAGCUGGGGAGUUGGGGUAGGGAGGAACGUGUGAAUGAACUCGCGUCCCAGAAAGGGCCACUACACCCACCCACACCCGAGCUGCGGAAACCCCCGAAGUCUCUGUCGUGGUCUGCACGCUGCUGUGACAAAACAAAAAAAAGAAAAAACUUUAAUCAGGAAAUAUUUUCCUUAGCGCUGGGAAACUACGGUGGCCCCUGAAAGGACGUACCCGGGCCUAAAUGUGUCGCCGCUGGGACAGGCCGUUGUCUGGGCUAAAAGAAGGGAGAGAGAUAAAUGGGAGCUUUGGAGCGUGCGAAAGAAGGUCGUGACACGGAUGGCCGCCACGCGGGGCGCUUUGGGCACUUUUGUUCGGGGAAGCGGGGAGGUUCCCAGCAGCGGGAGGGCACGGCCGAGCCCACCCUUGAGGAGUCCUCCCUGCAAUGGCUGUGUUAAGUACGGACCCGUGUUUAGACACCCUUGCAAUUCUAAAGUUGUGAGCAUUUUCCCCAACUCUCAGAUCCUCAGUUUCGGGAAUAAGUGGGGAAAUCUCCGAGAACAUCCAUUAAUUACUGCUUGUAGAUGGAACCCUGCUGCCUUUGAUAGCUUCCGGUUGACAAACCUCUCCGAUUCACAACCCGAUAAGAAAAAUCGUAUAAAAACACUUUUGCUUCUUACAUUUGCGCACCUAUGCAGGAGUUUGGAUCUCGGGAGCCCUUAGAUCUGUGUGGAACUGACUGUAAACACUGCCCUUGGGGAUAGCCUGAUGGGGUUUUCGAGCUGUCUCCCAGAUGGCCAAGCUUUUCAGAUCUCUGCCAGGCCUUAAAACCAUCAAGUGGAGAAGUUUCCAAUAACAUAGUGCCGCUGCCUCUGCCAAAUAUCUACCCAGAGUCACAUGGCUAGUGUUGGAGCCAAGCUGCCUUUGAGCUUCCCAGCUCCAGUUGUCCAAGAGAACCAUGCCAGUUCUUCCUAAACACCCUGCUCACUGCUUCUCAUAUAUGAAGAUGAUGUCACCAAUCUUCUGCAAAUGAAACAGGCUUUGAGUUUCCCCAGUAAUAGGAAAUGGUUUGCCAUUCAUGGCCUCUCUUUUCUGUUUUUAACCUGUACCAAAUUGUCUUGAAGAUGUUCAGAUACUCCAUAUAGACUGAGGUCUAAUGUAAAUUUGUCUUCGGUGUGUUUCAGUGUGUACUAAGUUCAGUAACAUCAAUUUUCUUAAAUUGGUGAGGCCCAAACGUGAACAAGAAAUCUAAUUAUAUUUGCCUAUAUUUGUUUUGAAUAGUGUCUUAUGUUUAUAGAAUUAUAACUGUAUUGUGCCUUUCGUAAUCUUUGAUAGGAUUUCUUUUAUUUCCUGAUUUUUGCUAAUACUGUACAGAAAUGUUCAUGAUAUUUAUGAUUUUGUCUUUUGCUGCUUUAGUAAUGCUAUUCAUCUCAAAAUUUGUUUCCUUGCUGAUUUGAUUUGACUUUCUAAAUAAACUAGUAUAUGUGCA